CAGCAGCCGCGGUAAUACGAAGGGUGCAAGCGUUAUUCGGAAUUACUGGGCGUAAAGCGUGCGUAGGUGGUCGUUUAAGUCCGUUGUGAAAGCCCUGGGCUCAACCUGGGAACUGCAGUGGAUACUGGACGACUAGAGUGUGGUAGAGGGUAGCGGAAUUCCUGGUGUAGCAGUGAAAUGCGUAGAGAUCAGGAGGAACAUCCAUGGCGAAGGCAGCUACCUGGACCAACACUGAC
rnacentral:rRNA from 1 species